UGGGGAAUAUUGCACAAUGGGCGCAAGCCUGAUGCAGCCAUGCCGCGUGUAUGAAGAAGGCCUUCGGGUUGUAAAGUACUUUCAGUCGGGAGGAAGGUGUCAAGGUUAAUAACCUUGGCAAUUGACGUUACCGACAGAAGAAGCACCGGCUAACUCCGUGCCAGCAGCCGCGGUAAUACGGAGGGUGCAAGCGUUAAUCGGAAUUACUGGGCGUAAAGCGCACGCAGGCGGUCUGUCAAGUCGGAUGUGAAAUCCCCGGGCUCAACCUGGGAACUGCAUUCGAAACUGGCAGGCUAGAGUCUUGUAGAGGGGGGUAGAAUUCCAUGUGUAGCGGUGAAAUGCGUAGAGAUGUGGAGGAAUACCGGUGGCGAAGGCGGCCCCCUGGACAAAGACUGACGCUCAGGUGCGAAAGCGUGGGGAGCAAACAGG
rnacentral:rRNA from 1 species